UACAGAGGGUGCAAGCGUUGUUCGGAAUUAUUGGGCGUAAAGCGCGUGUAGGCGGCUUUGCAAGUCGGGUGUGAAAUCCCUCAGCUUAACUGAGGAAGUGCGCCCGAAACUGCCGAGCUUGAGUACCGGAGAGGGUGGCGGAAUUCCCCAAGUAGAGGUGAAAUUCGUAGAUAUGGGGAGGAACACCGGUGGCGAAGGCGGCCACCUGGACGGUAACUGACGCUGAGACGCGAAAGCGUGGGGAGCAAACAGG
rnacentral:rRNA from 1 species